GAUGAACGCUGGCGGCGUGCCUAAUACAUGCAAGUCGAGCGAACGUACGAGAAGCUUGCUUCUCUGUUGUUAGCGGUGAAUCUGUGUGUAACACGUGGAAAACCCACGUAUAAGACUUGCAUAACUUCGGGAAACCGGAGCUAGUACCGGCUGGUAAUUUGAACCGAAUCGUUUAAAAGUGAAAAACUGUCUUGCUGAUACUUAUUCAUGGAUACGAGCUGCAUUAGCUAGUUGGUACGGUUACGACUUACCAAGGCAACGAUGGAUAGCCGACAUGAGAGGGAGGUCGGCCAGACUGGAACUGAGACACGGUCGAGACUCCUACGGGGGGAAGCAGUAGGGAAUCUUACGCGAUGGGGGAGAGCCUGACGGAGCAAAACCGAGUGAGUGAUGAAGGACUGAGGAUCGUAGAACGAUGUUAUAUGGGAAGAACAAAUGUGUAAGUAACUGUGAACAUGUUGACGGUACCUAAUCAGAAAGCCACGGCUAACUACGUG
rnacentral:rRNA from 1 species